UGUCUCUUGUGAUGCCUUGCACUGGGCUCAGAGGAAUCAGUGAUGACACAAGUGCAACUCUGCUACUGACAUGGCAGAGUCUGAAGAGACA
ensembl:snoRNA small nucleolar RNA SNORD88